rnacentral:rRNA from 1 species
CAUGCAAGUCGUGCGCUUCCUAGCCAUGGUGGGAGCGCGGCGUACGGCUCAGUAUAACAUGGUUAACUUGCCCCAAGGAUGGGAAUAACCCCGGGAAACUGGGGCUAAUAUCCGAUAGGCGAGGAUGCCUGGAAGGGCGUCUCGCUCAAAGGGCGGAGGGAGCAUGCUUCUCUUCGUCGCCUUGGGAUAGGGCCAUGUCCGAUCAGGCUGUUGGUGAAGUAACGGCUCACCAAACCUAUAACCGGUACGGGCCGUGAGAGCGGUAGCCCGGAGAUGGACCCUGAGACAAGGGUCCAGGUCCUACGGGGCGCAGCAGGCGCGAAACCUCCGCAAUGCGCGCAAGCGUGACGGGGUUAGCCCGAGUGUCGCCUGCUGAAGGCGACUUUUCCUCGGUCUACAAAGCCGGGCGAAUAAGNNGGGGGCAA